GGGCCGUUAGCUCAGUCGGUAGAGCAGUUGGCUUUUAACCAAUUGGUCGCUGGUUCGAAUCCAGCACGGCCCACCA
rnacentral:tRNA from 1 species